rnacentral:rRNA from 1 species
AGUCUGGUGCCAGCAGCCGCGGUAAUUCCAGCUCCAAUAGCGUAUAUUAAAGUUGCUGCGGUUAAAAAGCUCGUAGUUGGAUCCGGGCAGUCGACGCGCGGUGCGCUUUACGGCGUUACUGCGUGCUCGUCGCCACUAUCCGGCCUUGUCUUUCAUGUUCUUUACUGAGCGUGAUCGGCGACCGGGACGUUUACUUUGAAAAAAUUAGAGUGCUUAAAGCAGGCAUAUGGCCUUGCAUAAUGGUGCAUGGAAUAAUGGAAUAGGACCUCGGUUCUAUUUUGUUGGUUUUCGGAGCUCGAGGUAAUGAUUAAGAGGAACAGACGGGGACAUUCGUAUUGCGGCGUUAGAGGUGAAAUUCUUGGAUCGUCGCAAGACGAACUACUGCGAAAGCAUUUGUCAAGAAUGUUUUCAUUAAUCAAGAACGAAAGUUAGAGGUUCGAAGGCGAUCAGAUACCGCCCUAGUUCUAACCAUAAACGAUGCCAACCAGCGAUCCGUCGGUGUUCAUUCAAUGACUCGACGGGCAGCUUCCGGGAAACCAAAGUGCUUAGGUUCCGGGGGAAGUAUGGUUGCAAAGCUGAAACUUAAAGGAAUUGACGGAAGGGCACCACCAGGAGUGGAGCCUGCGGCUUAAUUUGACACAACACGGGAAAACUUACCCGGCCCGGACACUGUAAGGAUUGACAGAUUGAGAGCUCUUUCUUGAUUCGGUGGUUGGUGGUGCAUGGCCGUUCUUAGUUGGUGGAGCGAUUUGUCUGGUUAAUUCCGAUAACGAACGAGACUCUAGCCUGCUAAAUAGCCAACUGAUCCGCUGCGUCGGUUGCUAUAAGCUUCUUAGAGGGACAGGCGACGUUUAGUCGCACGAGAUUGAGCAAUAACAGGUCUGUGAUGCCCUUAGAUGCCCGGGGCCGCACGCGCGCUACACUGGUUGAAGCAGCUGGCAUUACGUCUAGGUCGAAAGGCCCGGAAAAUCCGCUGAAACUCAACCGUGAUUGGGAUUGAGCUUUGUAACUAUCGCUCAUGAACGAGGAAUUCCCAGUAAGCGCGAGUCAUAAGCUCGCGUUGACUACGUCCCUGCCCUUUGUACACACCGCCCGUCGCUACUACCGAUUGAAUGAAUUAGUGAGGACUUCGGACCGGACAUCGCGGCUGUCGCAAGAUGGCUGCGGCUGGCUGGGAAGAUGUCCAAACUGGCUCAUUUAGAGGAAGUAAAAGUC